rnacentral:rRNA from 1 species
ACGGGGUGCAGCAGGCGCGAAAACUUUACAAUGCGGGAAACCGCGAUAAGGGGACACCGAGUGCCAGCAUUUAUGUUGGCUGUCCACAUGUGUAAACGGCAUGUGUUAGCAAGGGCCGGGCAAGACCGGUGCCAGCCGCCGCGGUAACACCGGCGGCCCGAGUGGUAAUCACUUUUAUUGGGUCUAAAGGGUCCGUAGCCGGUUUGAUCAGUUCUUCGGGAAAUCUGACAGCUCAACUGUUAGGCUUCCGGGGAAUACUGUCAGACUUGGGACCGGGAGAGGUAAGAGGUACUACAGGGGUAGGAGUGAAAUCUUGUAAUCCCUGUGGGACCACCAGUGGCGAAGGCGUCUUACCAGAACGGGUCCGACGGUGAGGGACGAAAGCUGGGGGCACGAACCGGAUUAGAUACCCGGGUAGUCCCAGCCGUAAACGAUGUUCGCUAGGUGUCAGGGGCGGUGCGACCGCUUCUGGUGCCGUAGGGAAGCCGUGAAGCGAACCACCUGGAAGU